AUACUAUAAACCUAUUAGAAAUCUAACUCCUAAUAGAGUUCUAUUUACAACUCCUAAUAGAGUUCUAUUUACAACUAAUCCUUAACAAGGGCUAUUCUAACAUAGGAGUUAACACAUUUAUAAAUAGAGUCAAAAGAGAUCAUGGGUACACAAUUGGAUGGAUGAAGGCAUAGAAGGCUAGGGAGAAGGCCAUAGCAGUGUUGUAUGGUGAUGAGAGCCAGCAGUAUGCUAAGCUCCAUGAUUAUAGGUUGGAGCUCCUAGCUACCAACCUUGGUUCUUCAAUUCAUUUUAAGGUAGAUGGGGGAGGUUUUGAGGGUGUUUAUAUCUGCCUAAAUGCAUUGAAAGUUGCAUUUAAAAACUAUUGUAGAAGGCUUGUAUACUUAGAUAGACGUUGGUUGAAGGGGAAUUAUAGGAGGUCAACUGUUGUCUACUAUGGCAAUCGAUCCAAAUGAUUGCAUUUUCCCACUAGCUUAUGUUGUGGUGAAAAAUGAAUUUAUGGAGACAUGGGUUUGGUCUUUAGAGCAUUGAAGGAAGGCUUGGAGCUCAGAAAUGAUCACAACUUUUGCUUCGUAAGUGACAGAUAGAAGGGGUUAUUAAUGUCAUUAGUAGGAUGUGGCCUGAGGUAGAGCACAAAUUGUGUGUUAGACACCUUUAUACCAAUUUUAGAGCACAUUUUAAAGGUAAAUAGAUGAAAGAUCUGUUGUGGAAUGCAGCAAGGGCAAGCUAUGAUGCUAAAUUGAAUGCAUGAGAGAUUGAAAAAGGGAAUGUGGAGGUAAGGGAUUGGUUGAGGGUAAGACCUUGUGUGAAUUGGUCUAGGGCUUGCUUUAGGACUAAGGUGAAACGUGACAUGCUCACAAACAAUUUGUGUGAGUCCUUUAACAAAUAUAUCCUAAAUGCCAGAGAGUGUGUUAUCCUAACCAUGUUAGAGGUAAAUAGGACAAAGUUAAUGAAAAGACUACAUAGGAAGAGAGAGCAAAUGAAGAAUCAACAAGGCAAACUUUGUCCUAGGAUUCAAAAGAAACUAAAUGAGAAUAAGGAGUUUUCACAUAUGUAUGAGUCCACAUUUAGUGGUGGACCUAGGGUGCAAGUUGCUAGGCAUGAGGGGCAAUAUAUUGUGGAUUUAGGGGAUAAAACAUGUACAUGCAGAAGGUGAGAUUUAACUGGCAUCCCAUAUAGACAUUAUGUUAUUGCCUACAUAGUUGGCAAUAAUGAGGUGCAUGAGUUGUAUGUGCAUGAGGCAUAUAUUAUGGAGACAUACAUGAAAGUGUAUAGUCACUUUCUGAAUCCAAUUAAUGGACCUAACAUGUGGCCAAGGCAAACCCUAUAGCACCAUUUGUACCACCAAGUCCUAUUAAGAAAAAGAGGAGUAGAAAGCAAAAGGCUAGGAGAAAGGAAGCUGAAGAAAUUGAAUUGACAACAACUAGAGGUAAAAUGAAUAAGAAGGGAAGGGUAAGUAUGAAGUGCAGCACUUGUGGAGCAAUAGGCCACAAUAAGAGGUUCCAUGCUCCAUUGGACCCUUCCUAUAUGGCAGCAAAGAGAAGAAGAAAAGGAAAUAAAUAUGCAUCUAUAGCAAAGAAAUCUACACAUUCUGCUGCAACUUCUGCAUCUGCGGCUUCUACUUCUACAGCUGAGGGGAGUAGCUCUACACAUGGUGGAAUGCCUAAUCCCAGUUCCCAACCUACUCAACAAUCUGACCAAUGAGUCAGAGUGGUGGUUUAUGGCUGGAAGUAGCCAAUCAUUUCAAAAUCUAGAUAUAAUUAGUAGAUAGAAAAGUUGCAUGACAGGUAGCCAAAAUGUGUCACAAGCUCAAGUUAGAAGGGAGAAACAACAAGUGAGGAGGAAAGGGAAAGCUACACAGCAUAACUGAACCUACCAUUACUGUGGAUUUUAUUUUUUUGUGAAUGUUUUGUAACACUCAGGCCAUAGAUCAUAACUCUUCCUUUUGCAUAAUUUUUAGGGUUUCUUAUGAUUUGGAUUCAUUAAACAA